AGACAGCCGGGCCUGGAGGUCUGCCCGCGAGACGGACACGCUGUCCAUGCUCUCCGCCUCCAGAAGGACUCUCCAGCUCCUCUCCAGCUCCAUCCCGGUACGGAUGAUGGGCGACUCAUCUUCGAAGGUCAUCAGCGCGGAGGAAGCUUUGCCAGGACGCACAGAGUCGAUCCCCGUAGCAGCCAAACACCAUGUCAGUGGCAACAGAACGGUUGAACCUUUCCCAGAGGGAACACAGAUGGCUGUAUUUGGAAUGGGCUGCUUCUGGGGAGCUGAGCGCAAGUUCUGGCUCUUGAAAGGAGUGUAUUCAACCCAAGUGGGUUUCGCAGGAGGCUACACACGCAAUCCCACCUACAAAGAGGUCUGCUCAGAAAAAACCGGUCACGCAGAAGUCGUCCGGGUUGUGUACCGGCCAGAGCACGUCAGCUUUGAGGAGCUGCUCAAGGUCUUCUGGGAGAAUCACGACCCGACCCAAGGGAUGCGCCAAGGCAAUGACUGUGGCACGCAGUAUCGAUCGGCGGUCUAUCCCACCUCCGCCGUGCAGAUGGAAGCUGCCCUGAAAUCCAAGGAGGAGUACCAGAAGCUCAUAAAAAUCAUCAGUGACUGGCUCCCACCCAGAUUGGGACUUUGGAACGACAUUGGAACACAGUCACAGCCACAUACGGACCUGCAUGGAGGAACAGCAUGACCUGCAAAGUAUUCCCUGCUGACUGAUUAUGGGAUAAGUCAUACUGUGGUGGUUGAAUAUGCUUAGUCCAUGAGAAGUGGGACUAUUAGGAGAUGUGACCUUGUUGGAGUAGGUGUGGUCUUCUGAAGGAAGUGUGUUACUGUGUAGGCAGGCUUUGAGGGCUCCUCGUGUGGAAGAGCCCCUCCUCCCUGCUGCCUGCUAAGGAGUCUCCUUCUGUCUGCCCUUGGAUUAAGAUGUGGAACUCUCGGCUUCUUCUUCAGCACUGCGACUGCCUCCACACUGCUGUGUUUCCACUAUGAUGACGAUGGACUGAACCUCUGAAACCGGGCCUUUCACUGGGGACACUGAUGCCUUGCUUGAGAGCUGUAAUAUGGUGACCUUUGCAUGAGACCCAUUCAGAAGGAUUUCAGCAUGGUGGAAGAAGGAAGAGAGUCUCUGCAGAUGCUGCUGGACUUAAGCCUUCCUGAUGUGACCACAUGUAUCACUGACCCAACUGGCUGCCUUCUCUGAAAUACGCACUGCUCUGCCCUGAUUCUUUCUUGUGUGAGACCAGUUGGAUCGCUGCGUGCAGUGCUACAGAAGUUCAAUUCCCUGGAGACUUUGGGAUUGGGGUACAAGGCGAGAGAGGGCUCUGGCUCUGUAUUUCGACAAGAGCCUUCCUGAUGACUGCGCAUCGUCCUGGAGAUGAAAGUGCUGGGACAGCUGAGAAAGGUGGUGCUAGUUCGAGGACUCAGUAACCCUUCUCUUGGGCCUCUCAGGACUCUCUGAAUCCCUGAGGUGGAGUUAGGCAGGUUGAUAGUUAGGAGGGUGGGACUGAGCUCAGUUAGGGAAGGACUGGAAUUUCAACCCUGAAAACUUGGACGGAGACAUUUUGCUGUUGGCAUGUACAUGGUGGACAUUGUAGUGACUAAACAGACGAGCCACAGUAGUCAACCACGGGAGUGGAGAGACUCUCUCCUUCCUAGACUAGAAAAGCCACCAGGGUGAAGAAGGGGCAUGCUGGCCAAUGGCAGCACUGUGACCUAAACAGGAAGGGGACAGGAAAGAAAUCCCCCUGGGCCCUCUCACUUCCUGCUCUUGUGCUUUGGUCAGUGCUUUCUGAGAGGCGUCUAACAGCAUGUAAUGGCUCAGGCCUUAGGAGCAGCCUUCUCCCACCCAGGCAAGAACAGCAAACAGACCCGAAGAGGGAGAACUGGGACGAAUGGAGAAGUAGAGGGCCAGCAUCUUCUAGAACUUUCUUGUGGUGGGCAAGUUGACUGCUGUGAGUCAUACUGAUCUCAGGAUUAAGAAGGACACCUGUGGUUAAGCUUCGUGGUACACACUGUGCUGUGCUUGGGACCUGGGAGUGUUAGCUCACCCCUCCUGGCAAUGUUCUACCAAUUGGUCGGUCAGCACAUCAGAGACUGCAUUUUAACUGAGUGUCUUCUCUGGCAUGCCAGCUCAGGUAGGACAUAUUUCCUACUGUAAAUUAUAAGGUAUCAUAUUGUACCUUAUAAUUCCUGCCAUGGUCCUGAAAAUAGAUGGAGGAUAUAAAAUAGAAUGAAAGUAUAUAAAUUAUAGACAUAGUGGAAAUAUAUGCAUAUAUAUGUUUGUAUAAUGAAAGCAAUCACUAGGAGAGCCUGUGAAGCGAUGUACAAUAUAUAAUUUUUGAAGUGACACACAUUUAAAGACAUGAGCCUUCCAUAUCUUGCAUUUUCCCGUAUUCUUACUAUGUCUUGUUCCCCAAGUAUCCAAAUGAAUAAGUGAGAAAAUAAACUCCUGUGUCCAUAUAA